AAAUAACGCCCGCCUGUUCUCUGUUUAAACAAAAAUAGAUUGUUCACUCUCUAACACAGAUUCUUCUUCAUAACCAAACCUCAUCUCUCUUUAUACCCAUUCCUCUCCCUCUUUAAAAUACGCAAAACAGAACCACUGCCUCCCCUUCCCUCCGGCGACGCGCCUCCUCCUCACCUAUUUUGCCACUAGAACCACCGUCUCUCCCUACAUCUUCUAUUUCAUCUCUCUCUCUCUCUCUCACACACACACACACACACACACACAGUGUUCUGAUCGUAAAACCCUAGCCGAUGGUGCGAGAUACGGCGGCAUCAACCAUGUUCCGGUGUAGGUCUGACAACCGCAGGCCGAGAUUUGAGUUGAUCCACACAGAUCUGUGAGUGAUCCACACAUAUUGCAAAUCCAUACCCCAUCUCUGUUACAGCUAAUUACCCUUUCCAUGGAAGUAGUAGAGUCUUCUUCUUCAUCUUCCCUCUCUACAUCGGACAGAAUUCAUCAACUACCUGGCCAAACCCAAGUCAGUUACCAGCAAUUUUCUGGGUAUGUUACCGUUGAUGCCAAGAACAGAAAGCUCCGGUUCUUGAAGCUGAAUCAAAUCCGGCUUCCAAGCCUCUUGUUAUCUGGGCUUGGUUGUUCUUCAUUGGGGGUUGGGGCAUUCUCUGAAAAUGGAUCGUUUAGGCCUAGUGGGAAGGCACUGGUCAGGAAUGAAUAUAGCUGGAACAGAGACACCAAUUGGAGUUGGGUUCUCUUACUCAUCUGAUCCUUCCUCCUAUGCGGCUGUAAAUGACAAGAUCACAGGCAUGUCUGUCCAAUUUUACCCACAUUUUCCCAACUUUCUUCAAUUUUCUUGAAAUUGUUUUCUAAAAACAUUUAUCUUCUUUCUAUGCUCAAAAUACAGUCAACUUGUUCUUCUUCUUUUACACUUUUCAUUGUUUAGUAGUAAGAAUCCUAUAAUGGUUUAGUACUGAAUACUAUGUAAACUUUUCACUUUUUUGUCAUUUUUAUGUUUACUGUUUUUGUUUUCUUUUUGGGGGUUGAAAAAAGUCCCACUUUAUACACUGCCUUGGAAUUUUAGAACUUUAAAUCUAGUUGUCUGAAAUUUUUUGUAUUAUAGCCGGGACAAUUUAAUUUUCUUGCACAAAUGGUUUGUCAAAUUCCCACAAUAUAGAGACACAAGUUUGUUCAUUACAAGAGAAAGCUAUGCUGGUAAUUUCUUUUCACUCAAAACAAUUUAGUUUUUCCAACUGGAAAACGAUUAAGAUUAAGAGUUGAGGAUUGAUACUUGCUUUUUCUUUGCUUCCACACCCCAUCUUUGUCCUGAUAGUCGUGUUAUUGGUGGUGGCAUUGCUAGUUUGCUAAUGGCUGCUAGCCCAAUCCAAUUUCUUGUAGACACCACAGGAGUUGCAGAAUGAGAAUGUUCCCCGUCAUCUUAUCCCUCACAAGACCUUCUCUGGCAAUCGGCCUUCUUUCAGCCUUCUACUUCUAUUAUUAAAUGCUUAUAAUAAUGAAUAGGAAUGGUGUGAAAAACAAAUGGAAUUCUCUCUACUGUUUGGCAAAUCGGAAAAGACUAAAGCAAUGAAAGCUGGUAUUGCUCGCCAUGCAGUACUUGAGGAAGAGAUAGAUGAACUCAUGCAUGAAGCUGAAUUGUACAUGAUUAGUUGGCACUUGUUACAUUUUUUGAAGGAUUAUAUAUUUUUGGAUAGAUGUGUAUAGAAAAUAUUUAAAUAGACUAGUAGUUAUAUUUUUAGAUAGAUGAGCAUGGAUUAAAAUUUAAAAUAUAAUAACAAGUACUUGUUAUGUUUUAAAUUUUUUAUGCUAGAUAGAUGUGAAUUGGAUGAUUAUAUUGAUUACAUGACUUUUAAUUGAAUGGUUAUGUAGUUUGGAAUUACUUGUGGAUGGAAAUUUAUA